UGUCCGGCUGCGGCCAUGGCGCUGGCGGAGGCGGGAGCCCGCGGGCGGCUCCUGCGCUGGCCUCGCGUGCUGCUCUUCGGAGACUCCAUCACUGAGUACUCCUUCCAGGAAAAUGGCUGGGGGUCAUACCUUGCUGAGAGACUGGUCAGAAAAUGUGAUGUUUUGAACCGUGGGAUCUCGGGGUACAACACCAGAUGGGCUAAAUUGAUUCUUCCAAGACUGAUUCCUGAAAGUACUGGUGCUGACAGUAUUGUUGCAGUUACCAUUUUCUUUGGAGCUAAUGACAGUGCUUUGAAAGAGCUGAACCCCAAGCAACACGUUCCUUUGGAGGAGUACGCCGCCAACCUGAAGAGCAUGGUGCAGUACCUGAAGUCAGUGGACAUUACUGCAGACAGGAUUAUUUUGAUAACACCACCACCUCUUCAGGAAUCAGCUUGGGAAAAGGCAUGUCUUGCCAAAGGUGACAAACUGAACCGCUGCAACGCCACCACCGGGCAGUACGCCCAGGCCUGCGUCCAGGUCGCCAGGGAAUGCAGCACAGAUGUGCUUGACCUCUGGACCCUGAUGCAGAAGAAUCAGGAUUUCUCUUCCUAUUUGUCUGAUGGCCUUCAUUUAUCACCAAAAGGCAACAGCUUUCUAGCAGCUCAGCUUUGGUCACGCCUGGAAAACAAACUGUCUGCUCUCCCUUCACUGCUUCCUUAUUGGCGUGACGUGGACCACACCAACCCUGAGGCCAGUCUUCUGUGACAUCCCUGCAGGAGGAGCUGGGGCACACAGAGCCAGCCGUUAUCCAGCAACGUGCUGCACAGACAGAGCCAGCCUGUUAUCCAACAACGUGCUGCAAACUGUAUGCUCAGGGAGCACAGCACUGGGGAGUCCCCAGCAAUGCUCUUCUCUGUCCCCUUCUCUUGGUCUGUGGCAGAAUAAAGAUUUCUGUGCAGUAACUUUGAGACACCAUCAAGAAAUUGAAGGCACUACAUUCCCUGUGUCCAUAUACAAGCCUCUACACUAGCAUGAUGUCUAAGGGAUUCAUCAGAGCUCUUCAGCCUUCUGCAGAGCCCAGUGAAUACCUGCUCUAUCUGUAUGCCGUACCCAUUGAAGGUUCCAUCGUCCCAGGAAGUGUUUCGGUAGAUG